UGAGGCAGCAGAUCAGAUGGAAACUCCUGGGCAAUCUCAGACUGGCGUUCAGUGCUCCUGACAGAGAUGGCUCUGGGCUGCAGAUGUUCACGGGACCAUAUGGCAUCUGCAUGUUGUCUUCGAGAAUUAUUACGAAAUAGACUGUUUUGGAGGGGAAAGAUAACCUGAUCAUAAAUAUUAAUCACUGCAGCUGUAGUUUGAAUGUCUGUAAAAGUGUCAUAAUGGAAUUCCAGACUUUUCCUGUUUUCAUUCACUGGUGUGUAUUUUCCAUACUAUUUCACAAGUAAAAAUCUAUUUUUCAGAGGACUCUGGUAACCCUACAGAUUGUCUGGACACAAGCUGAGUUUUUUCUUGACAAGACCGUCUGAACUAAGAUGCAUUGUACAUGCAAAAUGUAAUUCUUGUCAGGAGAUCUAAACCAGUGGCUUUCCCAGCAAAAUCCUGUUGUCUUGUUUUUCCUUCAAAACACUAAUAAUCCCAACUGUAGAGCUGAAAACUCUGCUUUUCUGCCUGAGCUGCAGUAACACGAAGGUGUUGGUGGAAACCCUAGUGCCAACUCACGAUUAGGCCUGGGUGGAAUGUCUUGUUGAAUUUGACUCUUUAUGACCUUCUCUAUUUUUUCUGCAAGUAGGUGCAUUUCCAAUACCUUGAGAACAUUUGUUUGAACAAAGCUGGCUGUCACUGGGUCUGGUAGAGUGGCUGUGUACUGCUUGCUUAGGUGUUGCUUUCUUCCUAGGGCCCCUUGAUGUCCCCGCGAGCGUCUGCUGAAGGAUUACUGCCGUGGGGUCACAGGCUUGCUCCACUGUUAAGGAUUCCUUGGAGGCCGCUGGAAAGUGGUGUCAUUGUACAACUGUGGAGUAUGAGAGGGUGAGAUGGGAUGUGUUCAUUAACACAGCCUCGGGAAAACUGUCCACCCUCUCAGAAGAGGUUCUGUUAAGCUCUGAUGCUGAAAAAAAGUGCUCCAGAAGUGAGAAGAUCACAUCUAUGCCUUGUUUGGCAUAAAUGCUGGAACUGGAAGACCACAAAACUGGAUCUGAGAUGAAGCAAUAGGGCGUUAAUGGUGCUCAUGAGUAUCCCAUAAGCAGGCUUUUUGAAGUUACUGAAACACUAAACUGGUAGGCAGUAAAAGAGGUACCACAAUAAUUCUAUGUCAGGAGGUCCAUCUGUUUGCCAAUAACUAACUUACAUUUAGUGACUUACAAAUUCAGCCAGAAAUGCAACUCCUGACCAUCCCAGUGGUACUCUGGAGUCCUCCUCUGAACGUGGCCAGCUUGGAUCAAAGGAACCCUCUCAGCUCUCAGGUAGUGGUGCUGCCCUUCAAGUCCGUGUUUAAGUUUGUGUUAGAAUAAGAACACAACUGCAAGCUAUUGAAAUGCUGCUUUCUCCUGAAUUAUUUGCUAGGCCUGAUUUUUAAAAGUGGGUGUUUCACUUUAUCAGUGUUCCCUCGGGUAAGUGCUGCUUCCAGCUUUCUUGCCCUGUAUGUUCUGGGGCUGUGUUAUGUCCCUGAGCCAUUUUUGUUCCAUGACAGCAAAGCUGCUCCUUCACCCACCUUGGCUGCUCACAGAGAUUUUGCCUGAUUCUGUGGGAGCUGGCAUGAAAACUUUGGUUUUGAAUAUUUCAAUGUGUUACAAAGUACAGCAAACGAUAGAAAUCUCACCUAAAGAGGGGGGAGUGAAGGAUAAACCUAUAAAGCCAGGCUCUUCAUCUUCCACUCUGCUUUUAUCACAGCUGUAAUGUGAGCAGUUUCAGUUAAAAGCUCCUGUCAGACAACAGUUACUGUAGGUUACAGCAGCAUAAGGAACAGUCUUGGUCAAAGGCAAAUCAGGAAUUCCUCUAAAAAAGUGAUCAUUUCCUCAAAGCUCCCUUCCACUUAAAAUGACCAGAGUUUGGUCUAAUGAACAAUAAAGAGAAUUAAUUCACAAGUGGUGCAACUAUUAACUGAUGUUGUUGAAAAGACCAAAAAGCUUUUCUGGAGGAUUUCUGGAACUUAGUUUCAUUGGCCACAUUUCAAAAUCAGGCAUCUUUAAAGAGGCAAACUCUCCCUUUACCCUCCAGAACCCCACCUUGGCUGAACUGACAUUUUGUAUUAAGUGUAGUUGCUUCAUAGUUUGCAAUCUCUCAGUCCCACUGGAGUGAUUCACUUGCACAGAGCACACUGGGGUAAAACAGAGCUUUGUGUGCAGCGUGAGCUCAUCAAAUAAAUGUUAUUGCAAAAAUGGGAGCCCUACGAAGCGUUUGUCAGGUGUGUCCUGCUGCCUUCAGAGUGAAGGGAAUGUAGUUUGCAGUUUGAGUAUUAAAAUUUCUCCAUAGCACUCCAGAGCUAUUAAACCAGUCCUCUUGAGGAAGUUCUGUGCCCCUUUGCCUGGCAGGAGUAUUUCUGCGUUCCCCUAUCUCUCGUCUGACCAUUCUGUCCAGCAAAACAUUGUCUGCCCAAAAGCUGGCUAUACAGAGCAACCACAUUUCAAAAUCCCAAUAUGGAAAGAAGUCUCCCUUUCAGUCCACCCCUCAAUUUUCCCUCACAAGGGGCCCAUCCCCAUUUUCCAGCUUUCCCGUUCUCAGAUCUUCACUCCUCAUUUUCGGAACACGUGCUUUGCUCGUGUAC